rnacentral:rRNA from 1 species
UUGAACGCUGGCGGCAGGCCUAACACAUGCAAGUCGAACGGUAACAGGAAACAGCUUGCUGUUUCGCUGACGAGUGGCGGACGGGUGAGUAAUGUCUGGGAAACUGCCUGAUGGAGGGGGAUAACUACUGGAAACGGUAGCUAAUACCGCAUAACGUCGCAAGACCAAAGAGGGGGACCUUCGGGCCUCUUGCCAUCGGAUGUGCCCAGAUGGGAUUAGCUUGUUGGUGGGGUAACGGCUCACCAAGGCGACGAUCCCUAGCUGGUCUGAGAGGAUGACCAGCCACACUGGAACUGAGACACGGUCCAGACUCCUACGGGAGGCAGCAGUGGGGAAUAUUGCACAAUGGGCGCAAGCCUGAUGCAGCCAUGCCGCGUGUAUGAAGAAGGCCUUCGGGUUGUAAAGUACUUUCAGCGGGGAGGAAGGGAGUAAAGUUAAUACCUUUGCUCAUUGACGUUACCCGCAGAAGAAGCACCGGCUAACUCCGUGCCAGCAGCCGCGGUAAUACGGAGGGUGCAAGCGUUAAUCGGAAUUACUGGGCGUAAAGCGCACGCAGGCGGUUUGUUAAGUCAGAUGUGAAAUCCCCGGGCUCAACCUGGGAACUGCAUCUGAUACUGGCAAGCUUGAGUCUCGUAGAGGGGGGUAGAAUUCCAGGUGUAGCGGUGAAAUGCGUAGAGAUCUGGAGGAAUACCGGUGGCGAAGGCGGCCCCCUGGACGAAGACUGACGCUCAGGUGCGAAAGCGUGGGGAGCAAACAGGAUUAGAUACCCUGGUAGUCCACGCCGUAAACGAUGUCGACUUGGAGGUUGUGCCCUUGAGGCGUGGCUUCCGGAGCUAACGCGUUAAGUCGACCGCCUGGGGAGUACGGCCGCAAGGUUAAAACUCAAAUGAAUUGACGGGGGCCCGCACAAGCGGUGGAGCAUUUGGUUUAAUUCGAUGCAACGCGAAGAACCUUACCUGGUCUUGACAUCCACGGAAGUUUUCAGAGAUGAGAAUGUGCCUUCGGGAACCGUGAGACAGGUGCUGCAUGGCUGUCGUCAGCUCGUGUUGUGAAAUGUUGGGUUAAGUCCCGCAACGAGCGCAACCCUUAUCCUUUGUUGCCAGCGGUCCGGCCGGGAACUCAAAGGAGACUGCCAGUGAUAAACUGGAGGAAGGUGGGGAUGACGUCAAGUCAUCAUGGCCCUUACGACCAGGGCUACACACGUGCUACAAUGGCGCAUACAAAGAGAAGCGACCUCGCGAGAGCAAGCGGACCUCAUAAAGUGCGUCGUAGUCCGGAUUGGAGUCUGCAACUCGACUCCAUGAAGUCGGAAUCGCUAGUAAUCGUGGAUCAGAAUGCCACGGUGAAUACGUUCCCGGGCCUUGUACACACCGCCCGUCACACCAUGGGAGUGGGUUGCAAAAGAAGUAGGUAGCUUAACCUUCGGGAGGGCGCUUACCACUUUGUGAUUCAUGACUGGGGUG